GAUGAAGAACGCAGCGAAAUGCGAUAAGUAGUGUGAAUUGCAGAAUUCAGUGAAUCAUCGAAUCUUUGAACGCACAUUACGCCCCUUGGUAUUCCAUGGGGCAUGCCUGUUCGAGCGUCAUUUGUACCUUCAAGCUCUGCUUGGUGUUGGGUGUUUGUCUCGCCUCUGCGUGUAGACUCGCCUCAAAACAAUUGGCAGCCGGCGUAUUGGUUUCGGAGCGCAGUACAUCUCGCGCUUUGCACUCAUAACGACGACGUCCAAAAGUACAUUUUUACACUCUUGACCUCGGAUCAGGUAGGGAUACCCGCUGAACUUAAGCAUAUCAAUAAGCGGAGGA
rnacentral:misc_RNA from 1 species